rfam:Anas platyrhynchos breed Pekin duck contig146559, whole genome shotgun sequence.
GUCCAAAAUACAAUGAUGUCUUUUCCAAGCACACAUCUGAUUUGUUCUGUGUGGAAAAUGAUUGCUGAGUGAUUUUGGAU